UACGGAGGGUGCAAGCGUUGCUUGGAAUUAUUGGGCGUAAAGGGUAGGUAGGUGGUCUUAUUUGUGUGGGGUGAAAGCCUUGGGCUUAACUCAAGAAGUGCCCCGCAAACGGUAAGACUAGAGUCUUGGAGAGGCUAGCGGAAUUCCCGGUGUAGCGGUGAAAUGCGUAGAGAUCGGGAGGAACACCAGAGGCGAAGGCGGCUAGCUGGACAAGCACUGACACUCAACUACGAAAGCGUGGGGAGCAAACAGG
rnacentral:rRNA from 1 species